rnacentral:lncRNA from 1 species
UCUACAUUGUCUUCAUAGACCUGACGAAGGUGUUCGACACAGUGAACAGGGACGCAUUGUGGGUGAUCCUCAGCAAGCUGGUUGCCCAGCAAAAUUUGUCAAACUGAUCCAGCUCUUUCAUGUCGACAUGACAGGGGAAGUCCUAUCUGGUGGAGAGACUUCCGAUCGCUUCAACAUCUCCAAUGGCGUGAAACAAGGCUGCGUCCUUGCUCCGGUGCUAUUCAACCUAUACUUCACCCAAGUAUUACAACAUGCUGUGAUGGAUCUAGACCUGGGCGUCUACAUAAAAUACCAACUGGAUGGCUCACUAUUCGACCUUCGCUGCCUGACUGCAAAAACAAAGACAACAGAGAGACUCAUCCUGGAAGCUCUCUUUGCAGAUGACUGUGCUCUCAUGGCCCACCAAGAAAAUCAUCUUCAAACCAUUGUGGACAGGUUCUCCACCGCUACAAAAUUGUUUGGCCUGACUAUCAGCCUCAGCAAAACAGAGGUGCUGUUCCAACCUGCACCAGGGAGGCCAACUAACCAGCUGUGCAUUACAAUCAACGGCACUCAGCUUUCUAAAGUCAACACUUUCAAGUACCUGGGCAGCACCAUCGCCAACGACAGGUCCCUAGACCAUGAGAUUAAUGCCAGGAUCCAAAAGGCCAGCCAGGCACUUGGGCGGCUGCGCUGCAAAGUCCUCCAACACAGAGGUAUAAGCACUGCGACGAAGCUCAAAGUGUAUAACGCAGUGGUCCUCAGCUCGCUCCUGUACGGUUGUGAGACAUGGACACUGUACUGGAAGCACAUGAAACAGCUGGAGCAAUUCCACCAAUGCUCCCUCCGGUCAAUCAUGAGGAUCUGAUGGCAGGACUGAAUCACCAGUCAGGAAGUCCUCGACAGAGCCAACUCCACCAGCAUCGAAAUCAUGGUCCUCAAAACCCAGCUACGAUGGUCUGGACACGUCAUCCAAAUGGACCCACAGCGAAUACCAAGACAGGUAUUCUACAGUGAACUGUCA